rnacentral:rRNA from 1 species
UGGCGAACGGGUGAGGAACACGUGAGGAAUCUGCCUUCAACACUGGGAUAACUCCGGGAAACCGGGGCUAAUACCCGAUACGCUGUGGAGUGAAAGAAUUUCGCCGAGGGAUGAUCUUGCGUCUGAUUAGCUAGUUGGUGAGGUAAAAGCUCACCAAGGCGACGACGGGUAGCCGGCCUGAGAGGGCGACCGGCCACACUGGGACUGAGACACGGCCCAGACUCC